CUCUUAUGUCCAUUCGAAUAUCCUCUAAUUGGUUGUGAACCAGCAUCAACUUCCAGACACGUGAGUGAACAUGUCAUCAGGUUAUUCCUGCCCCAGAUUUGGAGACGCAUCACUGAAGACCGGAACACUGUGGAGCAGCACACAGCCAUCUCUGCUAUGCUUUGUCUGAAUUCCUGAUGUACACGUCUCUGAAGAUAAUUACACUGAGAUUCUGUGUCUUGGGGAAGAAUACCACACAGAUGAAAUGCCCUUCUCAUUGCCUCCUACCAAAGGUUGGUUGGUCAAAAAGCCUUCAAUGGAAUAGAUUAAUGGCCCAUUCUUGCUUGUCACAAGAAUACAGUUGUGUAAAUCA